rnacentral:piRNA from 4 species
UGGUUAGGAUUCGGCGCUCUCAC